rnacentral:piRNA from 1 species
UACUUCUGUAUCUUAAAGCAAAUCACACC